rnacentral:misc_RNA from 1 species
GAACGCAUAUUGCGCCCCUUGGUAUUCCGGGGGGCAUGCCUGUUCGAGCGUCAUUAUCACCACUCAAGCUCUGCUUGGUUCUGGAUCACGCCGGUAGCGGCUGAUCUUAAAUUCAGUGGCGGCCUCUAUAGGUUCUUCGCGUAGUAAUUCUCUCGCGUAGACACUAUAGAUCAGUCGACCAAAAACCAUUUCUAGGUUGACCUCGGAUCAGGUAGGAAUACCCGCUGAACUUAAG